GGAGCCGGUGUGUGCUGGGCGCUGGGAAGAGACAGCGCCGCCGGCCGUGGGGAUCUGACGCAGUGAUUUGCUCCCUUACCCUCAACAACCCCCACACCCAGCACCAGUCUAGGCCCCCAGACUCUCCUUCCAGCUGAACUCCCUGGGAACAAGUCAGUUGGGCUGAUCGCUGAACUCUCAUUUCUGGAACUGAGGAGCCUGAUCUCUCACAUCCUCAUCUGGCUGAGCCGCAGUAGUUCUUCAGUGGCAAGCUUUAUGUCCUGACCCAGCUAAAGCUGCCAGUUGAAGAACUGUUGCCCUCUGCCCCUGACUUCGAGGAAGAAGAAGAAGAGGAGCUGCUUUCUCUAUCAUCUGGAAGGUGACCGAAAUGGGGCUGCAAAGGUCUAAACAGCGGGGCUUAUGAUACCUUUUGGGAAAGGAAACCCUGUGUAGUUGGGAGAGCCUACACCCCAAAUGGCCCAGCAAGAGAGCAGUUUUAGAUUAGAGACACUGGCUGAACUGGGGACUAGAAGGCUUGAAUUGCCCAA